GUUUUAACCUCUUUUCAGAGAAAAUGGGUAUAAGUAUUGUCUAAACACUCUUAAUCUAUCUCUAACUCUUAUAAUUAGUCAAAUGCAUUAGAUUGUGACA
rnacentral:sRNA from 1 species